rnacentral:rRNA from 1 species
CUGGCGGUAUGCUUAACACAUGCAAGUCGAACGAGACGAGAUGGAAGUGCUUGCACGGAAAUCUUAGAAAGUGGCGAACGGGUGAGUAACGCGUGGGUAACCUGCCCUAUGGAAAGGAAUAGCCUCGGGAAACUGGGAGUAAUGCCUUAUAAUACAUUGAAGUCGCAUGGCUUUGAUGUUAAACGCUCCGGUGCCAUAGGAUGGACCCGCGUCCCAUUAGCUAGUUGGUGAGAUAACAGCCCACCAAGGCGACGAUGGGUAACCGGUCUGAGAGGGCGAACGGUCACACUGGAACUGAGACACGGUCCAGACUCCUACGGGAGGCAGCAGUGGGGAAUAUUGCGCAAUGGGGGCAACCCUGACGCAGCAAUACCGCGUGAGUGAAGAAGGUUUUCGGAUCGUAAAGCUCUGUUAUUGGGGAAGAAAAAAAGACGGUACCCAAGAAGAAAGUCCCGGCUAACUACGUGCCAGCAGCCGCGGUAAUACGUAGGGGACAAGCGUUGUCCGGAUUUACUGGGCGUAAAGGGCACGCAGGCGGUUUUUUAAGUCAGAUGUGAAAGGUACCGGCUCA